CAUCAUGCAAAUACCCCUAAUUAAGAAAGCCAGACAGAUUCUGUGUCAUGGAAACAUAAUUUCCUUUGACUCAGUGUUCCUUGGAUAGGAAGCUGCAAAUGGAGAUAUCAGAGGAGUCUUACCAGUGGAAGUGUGGUGGGAAAUGCACUUGGAUCCCAUGGUCAAUGUAGCCAUCAGUGGUCAUGUUGGCCCAGCUGGCACCCUCUUGACCAACAGGGCCUCUCCAACCUUAACAGGGAUUGCCAAUGC